rnacentral:rRNA from 1 species
UACAGAGGUCUCAAGCGUUGUUCGGAUUCAUUGGGCGUAAAGGGUGCGUAGGUGGCCUAAAAAGUUUGAUGUGAAAGCUCAGGGCUUAACCCUGAAAUGGCAUUGAAUACUGUUGGGCUGGAGGUUUGGAGGGGGGACUGGAAUUCUUGGUGUAGCAGUGAAAUGCGUAGAUAUCAAGAGGAACACCAGUGGCGAAGGCGAGUCCCUGGACAACACCUGACACUGAGGCACGAAAGCUAGGGGAGCAAACAGG